CAACGUGUAGAACCAUGUGAUCGCUUUUCGUCACGUGACUUUGAUCCUUCCGUCAACAGGCUGUCAUCUGUUAACAGACCUGUGUUGGAAAUGAACACUAGAAAAUGAUCAAUCAAAUCCUCAGUCAUACUUCAGACUCUUUGUUUGCUCUGAAUCCACAUGGUCUCCAGCCACCGUUGCUGUUUACGAUUUGUGUUCCCCCUCAGCCUCAUAGUUGUGACUCAGGCGGAGUAACUACUGCACCAGAACAAACACGGGGCCUGCUUACAGAGAGCUUUACCAGCUCCACUGAAUCAACAUCUGAGAAAGUGAGAGCAGGGCUUUAUGGUGCUGCCUUGGCCACACAAGCGUUAAUCCUGAACUUGAUCACAUGCAGACGGCGUGAAGUACAUCUUCUCACACCUGCUGUUAUCUGACAUCCUGGAUUAAACCCAGCCCUGUACUCAAACAGAGACAGAUUUAAAGGCCAUCAUUAAAUGGUCUGUUGUGCCUCCACCACUGACAGCUUUGUGCAUCCCAAGGGGGCCCCCGGACCCUACGCUGGGAACCACUGAGGUGAAGUCAUUUUCUUAUUCCACCUAUCUUAAUCUUUCGUGAACAUGUUCCCGCCUGUGCGACUGUAUCGACUUCACCUGGUCCGUCCUCCUCGCUCCUCACAGCAGGUUACCACUGAUGGAAGUCUUUAACCUCUGGGAACGUACCUGUCCUCACAGGCCUCGAACGUACAGGUGCCUCAUUUCCAAAAAGUCUGCUCCCAGUCUCCCUCUCUUCCUCACUCCUUGCCCCCCCCCCCCCCCUCCACCCACAUCUCCACCUCCCUAACUGCUGCAGCUUUAAACCCUGAAGUGAACUAGGGGCCUAUUGAAAUACCUCUCUCUGGUUAAGUCUGCACUUCAAAGUAGACUUUCACCCUGGAGCUGGAUUUGAAGGGGGAAAGGAAAGGGUCAGGCCCUGUCUUCAAAGUGUCUAUCAUAAAGUUAUGACCUGUUGAAAAGCUGUGGGCAGGACCAAAAGGAGUAACAGAUGGAUGAGGGUGUUUGUUCACCAGGAAGCUACAUGGAAGGGUCUAGAAAUUCAGAAUAAAUAAUAAUAAUAUUUUGAAAUGAAACACAUACAUCUACCUGCUGUUAACUUUUACUCAGAUGUUUUUAUCUGGAGUAUUUGUUUGUUUUCUUCCCUUCAGGUCAUGUGAGUGGAGUGUACUCACUACUGACAGGUUUAAAAAAAAAAACAGCUCCUGGAGUUGAUUAUUUAAAAUAAUGUAUAUUUGACCCAAUCUAGUAUAAACAGUUCUAUAUAACCCAGUUAACUUUGAAUCUUGUGUAUUUAGCAAUGUAGUUGUGGAUUUAAGAUUAGCAACCCUGUGUGCAUUAGCUUUGCCUCUGCUCCAAUAAAGUGUCCAUCAUUAAUCAUUCAUACCUAUUAUAUUUUAGUAAUUUACUGUGUCUGUGUUUACUGUGUUUAUUUACUUUGUAUAGUAUUCAAGUUUUCUAUGUUUUUAUGUACGCUUCAAACCAGCAGAGCCAGGUUGCACAUUAGCUACGGCUGGAAAUCUGUGUGUAUUUAACAUAGCCAUGAUCACUCAUUUGUUUCUGUCAAAUAAACUAUAAAUGAUGUAAAAACAUUGUUCACCAACAAGGGGAGGCAUUGAGUGAAAAUACAUUUCUGUGAACAGUGAGCUAGCAUAGCUGCGCUAGUUAGAUGGAAAGUUUUGUUUUUUUUUCUGACAGCUGCUAAGAUAAGAGCACGGUUGUGGGCAAAUAAUGCGAGUUUUCUUAGCAUUGAAGCACUUCAAACUAACAACAUCGAAGCAACACGAAAAAUUUUGCUGAUAGCAUGGACACCACAGCUGAGGCUAGCUAUGAAGUUAGCUUACAUUAGCUAUAAAGUUAGCUCUGGUACAGACAAACUGUGAAGUCAAUGUCCUUAAGCUGAACAAACCUGCAGCUGCAGAGGAGAAACACACCAAUACUGUACCGAGUGAGUACUAACAUCUCAUAUAUUAAGGGAUAGUUUCACUUUUUCAAAUUAUUAAAAACAGGGGCUUAUGUUAUCAAUUGCCUCACACUCCCAUCUGCUGGUAUUUUCUCCUACACUUCAUUUGCAAACGUCCAUGAGAGUUUCCCACCGGGGUUUGUGCCAUGACAUCAUCGCAAACAUGCAACAAACCCUGGGCGGACUAGAUUCAAUGGCGAUGAAGGGCAGCGUCCCCCACAAUCCGAGGGCCCCCUAAUUGCUUUAUGUAAUAUUUAAGCCCCAAUGAUGCACUUCUUCCUAGAGCCGUGAUUGUAAACGCUCCUCCUCCUCCUCCUCCUCCUCAUCUUCUCCUUCGUUCAUUAAAGCAUGACGUCAGGGCCUUUACAAACAAAGGGUCAAUUCACAGAGGCUGGGAGAGCCCUGUUGGUACACAUGGUGCUCCGCUGAUCAAACACAUUCAAAUGUUCCCGUCGGGUAUAUUUAGUAACCCGUGGUCUGGUCAGUUUUUUCGUAUUUAUUUAUCCAGGCCCAUAAUUCGAACACAGAACCACUUUCACAGUAAACUAUAAAAGAACAGUCGCCAC